GACGAACGCUGGCGGCGUGCCUAACACAUGCAAGUCGAGCGGGAGGUAAGCUGAUGGUAACUGAAGCUUACUUUAGCGGCGGACGGGUGAGUAACACGUGGGCAACCUGCCUCGAAGUGGGGGAUAACACCGAGAAAUCGGUGCUAAUACCGCAUAACAUACAGACAUCACCUGAUGACUGUAUCAAAGGAGUAAUCCGCUUUGAGAUGGGCCCGCGGCUGAUUAGCUAGUUGGUGAGGUAAUGGCUCACCAAGGCGACGAUCAGUAGCCGACCUGAGAGGGUGACCGGCCACACUGGAACUGAGACACGGUCCAGACUCCUACGGGAGGCAGCAGUGGGGAAUAUUGCGCAAUGGGGAAACCCUGACGCAGCAACGCCGCGUGGAGGAAGAAGGUCUUCGGAUUGUAAACUCCUGUCUUCUGGGACGAUAAUGACGGUACCAGAGGAGGAAGCCACGGCUAACUACGUG
rnacentral:rRNA from 1 species